UUACGGUCAAAUCACGUUGAAAACACCGGUUCUCGUUCGAUCACCGAAGUUAAGCAUCGUAGAGCCAGGUCAGUACUUAGAUGGGGGACCGCUUGGGAAAACACCUGGUACUGUAAG
rnacentral:rRNA from 1 species